UCUCUAUGGUAGUGCUUAACACUACGGAUGUGAUAUAUUUGUGGCCACACGUAGAUUUCCCGGCGCUGUUUCGCCUCUUCCGUGGCGCGGAAUUCAAACAGCGGAUACUCAUCUGUCAAUCAUUCGCUCUGAAGGAGAGGAGACGCGUUUUACGAUCGGAGAUUUCUUCACGAAAUUGUUUUGUUUGAACAACAUACGCUGCCAAACUCCCAACAAGCAGGAAUGUUUAGAUGAUGCGUGCUCUGUCAAGACACCCUCCUCCACAGAGUAGGUCACCCUAAAGACGGUCUCACUCUCAGUCCACCAAAACAUCACACCAGACACUUUGUCAGUGGAGGAUCAAAGGUCAGAAGGGUUUCUUCCAGAUGCAGAACACCACACCAUUGGCCAUAAAAGCGUCCCUCGUUCAGCUCACACUGGACCCCUCAGAACAGCUGGUCUUCGUGUUGGACCAUAGAUGGACAGAUCUGUUGAGAAUUGCCCGUGAACAUCUCUUGGCAACGCACCAUAGGAGCAAGGAUCUUCUUAAACAGGUCAAAGGCUUUUUCUUUCUUCUUCUGUGUUUUCCACAACUUUAAAUUGUAUUAUUAUUAAUAUUAUUGUAGCUGUUGUUGUUUAAUCUACAAUUUUUAAUUAUUUAAUUGAUUUCCAUUUGUUAAAUAAAACAUCAGAAGUAUUGGCCUUGUUUACAC